rnacentral:rRNA from 1 species
CCUACGGGUGGCUGCAGUGGGGAAUAUUGCACAAUGGGGGAAACCCUGAUGCAGCGACGCCGCGUGAGUGAAGACGCAAUUCGUUAUGUAAAGCUCUAUCAGCAGGGAAGAAAAUGACGGUACCUGAGUAAGACGCCCCGGCUAACUACGUGCCAGCAGCCGCGGUAAUACGUAGGGGGCCAGCGUUAUCCGGAUUUACUGGGUGUAAGGGGAGCGUAGGCGGCCGUGCAAGUCUGGAGUGAAAGGCGGGGGCUCAACCCCCGGACUGCUCUUGAAACUGUACGGCUGGAGUGCAGGAGAGGUAAGUGGAAUUCCUAGUGUAGCGGUGAAAUGCGUAGAGAUUAGGAAGAACACCAGUGGCGAAGGCGGCGUACUGGACUGUAACUGACGUUGAGGCUCGAAAGCGUGGGGAGCAAACAGGAUUAGAUACCCGAGUAGUC